GGCAAAAGUUCCCAAAGACUGAAUUUCCUGAACGGAUCGUUAAGCUUGACAUAUCUUUGAAUGAACUUGAGAAGAUUCCACCCGAAGCACUUUUUCCCUUUGAGAACCUGGCUGAAUUAGAUGCCUCGCUUAACGCUUUAGGCAGGGAACUUCAAGAAGAGUUGAUAGAAUAUGAAGAGAAACUCACGCUGGAAGUGGACGGCUGCUUAAGAUACAUAGAGUCCUUCCCAGACUUGGAUAGUCCCUGGGAAAUCGCCGCAUCCCUGGACAAGUACCUCUUUACCAAAUUCUGGGAGAAGUGGCAAAAUGGUCGGAGGAAACCAGCGUGCCUUCCAUACAAGGAGCUAACCAAGCCAGAAGAGACCAACCAAGAUGGCCGCCAAACAGUUCUCCCUGGCACCUGAAACUGUUUC
rnacentral:lncRNA from 1 species